UACGUAGGAGGCGAGCGUUGUCCGGAGUUACUGGGCGUAAAGGGUGCGCAGGCGGUGGUGCGCGUGGAUAGGUGAAAUCUCCUGGCUUACCUGGGAGGAUGGUAUCCAGACGGCAUCACUUGAGGGUCGGAGAGGGGCGUGGAAUUCCGGGUGGAGCGGUGAAAUGCGUAGAGAUCCGGAGGAACACCGACGGCGUAGGCAGCGCCCUGGACGACACCUGACGCUGAGGCACGAAAGCUGGGGGAGCGAACAGG
rnacentral:rRNA from 1 species